GAGCCUGCGAGGGGAAGCGAAUCCCAAAAAUAACGUCCCAGUUCGGAUUGCAGUCUGCAACUCGAGUGCAUGAAGCUGGAAUCGCUAGUAAUCGCGGAUCAAAAUGCCGCGGUGAAUACGUUCCCGGGUCUUGUACACACCGCCCGUCACACCACGGAAGUUGGGGGUGCCCAAAGUUGGCAGGAUAAUAUGUUACCUAAGGCAAAACCGAUGACUGGGGUGAAGUCGUAACAAGGUACC
rnacentral:rRNA from 1 species